rnacentral:piRNA from 1 species
AACAAGAAUUUGUCUGUCUUAGUCUGGGU